rnacentral:rRNA from 1 species
AGAGUUUGAUCAUGGCUCAGGACGAACGCUGGCGGCGCGCCUAACACAUGCAAGUCGAACGGAGUUAAGAGGAGCUUGCUUUUCUUGACUUAGUGGCGAACGGGUGAGUAACGCGUGAGUAACCUGCCUCAGAGUGGGGGAUAACAGUUGGAAACGACUGCUAAUACCGCAUAAGACCACGGGGUCGCAUGGCCCUGAGGUAAAAGGAUUUAUUCGCUUUGAGAUGGACUCGCGUCCAAUUAGCUGGUUGGUGAGGUAACGGCCCACCAAGGCGACGAUUGGUAGCCGGACUGAGAGGUUGAACGGCCACAUUGGGACUGAGACACGGCCCAGACUCCUACGGGAGGCAGCAGUGGGGGAUAUUGCACAAUGGGGGAAACCCUGAUGCAGCGACGCCGCGUGGAGGAAGAAGGUUUUCGGAUUGUAAACUCCUGUCGUAAGGGACGAUAAUGACGGUACCUUACAAGAAAGCCACGGCUAACUACGUGCCAGCAGCCGCGGUAAAACGUAGGUGGCAAGCGUUGUCCGGAAUUACUGGGUGUAAAGGGAGCGCAGGCGGACCGGCAAGUUGGAAGUGAAAACUAUGGGCUCAACCCAUAAACUGCUUUCAAAACUGCUGGCCUUGAGUAGUGCAGAGGUAGGCGGAAUUCCCGGUGUAGCGGUGGAAUGCGUAGAUAUCGGGAGGAACACCAGUGGCGAAGGCGGCCUACUGGGCACCAACUGACGCUGAGGCUCGAAAGUGUGGGUAGCAAACAGGAUUAGAUACCCUGGUAGUCCACACCGUAAACGAUGAUUACUAGGUGUUGGAGGAUUGACCCCUUCAGUGCCGCAGUU